ensembl:lincRNA 3110099E03Rik RIKEN cDNA 3110099E03 gene
UACAAUAAGGAAAUGCCUUAGCUGUAGACAUCAUUUAUGGAACCGUAUAAAUAGAGCUCACAUUCAAAGGGUUUGCAAGAGAAGAAUUGUAUGAUACAUUUACACAUGCAAGUACAGCAAGUACCUCUAACUGUUUCUAUGACAGAUUUUCAGCUUGUGCUCCUGUCUCUAUGCUACCUGCCAGAGGACACUGGGAAAAGGGUCAGCAACUGGGAGAAGGACAGAUGAAAACACUGCCUAUGCAGAGGUGCAGAUGAUAAAUCACAUGCCAGGCUCACCCCUGGACUGCCUCAGCAAGGGAAGCGAGAAGACAUGUAACAGUGAAUGAAGAAAAGGAACUCUGGAUGAGAUAGGAGGCUUGGCAUAUCGCUCAGUGGUAGACCACAUCUACCACACAUGAAGUCGUGGGUUCAAUCCCUAGAACCGAAAGAAACAAUAAACGCAGAAGCCAAAAAAGACAGGGGACUGGAGUGACACUUUUGGAUUUUUGGUUUCAUUACAGAACACA